rnacentral:lncRNA from 1 species
GUCCUGUAUUAAAUAUGUUCCCUUGCAAACCCUGACUCCAACACAGUAUUUGUAUUCACACAUCCUCUUAAACUCCCAAGGACAAAACACUUGAGUGGUUUCCUUGAAAACACACCCACACCUGGCGUUAUAAUAAUAACAUCAGUCACCAUGACUAAUGCUGCUCUCACUAGGGAAGCACAGCGAGCAGAUCAAGACUACAGUGGCAAGAGAUUCUCGGGGUUAUUCCGGCAGAGUGCACGUGCGCACAGCAAACUUUGAUCAUUCGCACCCCCGUUCCCUGCCCUCCCCGCAGUCUCACAUCUGGGUGCAGUGUGGGAAGUGUAUUCCAUCCACAGCCUCCUUCUCUGAGCCACCGCACACCUGCACUCCAGCAGGAGGCUCCCUGAC